rnacentral:rRNA from 1 species
AUACGUAGGGAGCGAGCGUUGUCCGGAAUUACUGGGCGUAAAGGGCGCGUAGGCGGCGCUUCAAGUCGUCUGUCAAAUGGGAGGGCUUAACCCUUUUUCGCAGACGAAACUGGAGAGCUUGAGAAGCAGAGAGGCAAACAGAAUUCCUGGUGUAGCGGUGAAAUGCGUAGAUAUCAGGAAGAAUACCAGUGGCGAAGGCGGUUUGCUGGCUGCAUACUGACGCUGAAGCGCGAAAGCCAGGGGAGCGAACGGGAUUAGAUACCCCGGUAGUCCUGGCAGUAAACGAUGUAUGCUGGGUGUGAGACUAGCGAUAGUUUCGUGCCGAAGUUAACGCGAUAAGCAUACCGCCUGGGGAGUACGGUCGCAAGAUUGAAACUUAAAUGAAUUGACGGGG